rnacentral:lncRNA from 13 species
AUAACCCUGCAGAACCCACAGGACAAUGCAGACAAUGUGGCUUCCUCAGACAACACAAGCCCUGGACAUUACCUGGGAGAAAAGGUCUUGCUAUAUUGCCCAAGCACGUCUUGAACUACUGGGUUCAAGUGAUUCUCCCACCUCAGCCUCCAGAAAUGCUGGGAUUACAGUUAUGAGAUGUACAGCCAUGUUAGAGCAUUUUAAACAUUUAGGUAACUUGGUGAACACAGUUAUGGGAUUGGCAUUUUCCUGGAGCAGCCUAAACAUGUGAUGUGUGUGGAAGCUCUUUAAAGGAUCUAAAAAGUCACUCAGCAUUUGCAGCUUACAAGAUUUCAGGAGAAAGAGGCAGUGAGUAACAUCUUAGUUCUUAUACAGGCAUCAACAGCCUAAGUCUCCUACAAAGUUACAAAAUAUCUUUGAUGUUCUGCAGCAACUUUCAUAAAUAUAUUUUAAACAUUGAAAUAUUUAUUACUCAAAGGAAAGGAUAAAGAAGGAGCUUUAAGAAAGGAAGUUAGUAAUGAACUAUAGGGUUUAUUACUAACCCUGAUGCAAAACUGAUGACAAAUGCUUUUGGAAAAUAAAUGCAUCUUUGCGCUAAAAUGAAUAGGUUCA